GUCUACGACCAUACCACCCUGAACACGCCCGAUCUCGUCUGAUCUUGGAAGCUAAGCAGGGUCGGGCCUGGUUAGUACUUGGAUGGGAGAUACCUGAAACUUUUAGUGUGUUGCAUGCC
rnacentral:rRNA from 1 species